rnacentral:lncRNA from 1 species
GUUUUGCUUUCUGAGACAGUGCCUCUCCAUAGCCCAGGCUGGCUCACACUGGCUAUAUAGCCCAGGCUGGCCUCGAACUUCUGAUCUUCUACUUUUAACUCCCAAGUGGUCCCUCACUCCUUCCUUCUAUCUUAAGCUCAUUUUUCCAGUCUUUUUCUGGUUCUUAUUCUCCUGGACAUCCAGAAAGUAAGCUUACUGAAAAACUGGAAGGAAUGUGAUGGUAUCUGCUUAGCAGGAAAUAAACAGAUUUACUCUGGUUUCUGAUUGCUUCAGCAGUGAGAGGACGAUGGACCUAGUGCUGGAGAUGUGCAACACCACCUCUAUCCACUGGUGUGGGAUUUCGGGAAGACAGCUGGGGAAGCUGCACCCCAGCUCCUCGCUCUGCCUGGCCCUGACUCUCCUGUCCUCAGUACAGGGGCUCCAAAGCGUGUCUGGCUUAAGACUCACGGACACAUUUUUAAAAAGAACAUAUGAAUAUGAUGACAUUGCACAAGUCUGCGUGGUCUCAGCUGCUGUGGAAGUGGAAGCCUGAAGAAAUUUCCUAAUGUCAAACUUGUUUAAUCACAGAAUGCUCUCCGUAUUUUGUCAGCUUUGUGCAACGAUCAGUAAUGAAAAUAAGUAUAUGUUAUUUAAAUUUGUUUCCUGUAAAACAGUUAAAUAUUAAAUGUUUGUUGUAAAAAC